rnacentral:rRNA from 1 species
UACGUAGGGGGCAAGCGUUGUCCGGAAUCAUUGGGCGUAAAGAGCGUGUAGGCGGCUCGAUAAGUCUGCUGUGAAAGUCCAGGGCUCAACCCUGGAAGGCCGGUGGAAACUGUCGGGCUAGAGUCCGGAAGAGGCGAGUGGAAUUCCCGGUGUAGCGGUGAAAUGCGUAGAUAUCAAGAGGAACACCUGCGGCGAAGGCGGGUUGCUGGGCCGACACUGACGCUGAGGCGCGAAAGCUAGGGGAGCGAACGGG